AUUAAACGCUGGCGGCAUGCCUUACACAUGCAAGUCGAACGGCAGCACGGGGGCGAACCCUGGUGGCGAGUGGCGGACGGGUGAGUAACACAUCGGAACGUGCCCUGGAGUGGGGGAUAACGCAGCGAAAGCUACGCUAAUACCGCAUAUUCUGUGAGCAGGAAAGCAGGGGAUCGCAAGACCUUGCGCUUUGGGAGCGGCCGAUGUCGGAUUAGCUAGUUGGUGGGGUAAAGGCUUACCAAGGCGACGAUCCGUAGCGGGUCUGAGAGGAUGAUCCGCCACACUGGGACUGAGACACGGCCCAGACUCCUACGGGAGGCAGCAGUGGGGAAUCUUAGACAAGUCGGGGGAAACCCUGAUCUAGCCAUGCCGCGUGGACGAUGAAGGCC
rnacentral:rRNA from 1 species